GAUGAAGAACGUAGCGAAAUGCGAUAAGUAAUGUGAAUUGCAGAAUUCAGUGAAUCAUCGAAUCUUUGAACGCACAUUGCGCCCCCUGGUAUUCCGGGGGGCAUGCCUGUCCGAGCGUCAUUACAACCCUCAAGCUCAGCUUGGUGUUGGGCCCCGCCGCCCCGGCGGGCCCUAAAGUCAGUGGCGGUGCCGUCCGGCUCCGAGCGUAGUAAUUCUUCUCGCUCUGGAGGUCCGGGUGUGUGCUCGCCAGCAACCCCCAAUUUUUUUCAGGUUGACCUCGGAUCAGGUAGGGAUACCCGCUGAACUUAAGCAUAUCAAUAAGCGGAGGA
rnacentral:misc_RNA from 1 species